GACGAACGCGGCGGCGUGCCUAAUACAUGCAAGUCGAGCGGAUCUUGUCCUUCGGGAUAAGGUAGCGGCGGACGGGUGAGUAACACGUAGGCAACCUGCCCUCGAGACUGGGAUAACCUCCGGAAACGGAUGCUAAUACCAGAUACGCGAUCUUCCCACCUGGGGAGAUCGGGAAAGACGGAGCAAUCUGUUACUCGGGGAUGGGCCUGCGGCGCAUAGCUAGUUGGUGAGGUAACGGCUCACCAAGGCGACGAUGCGUAGCCGACCUGAGAGGGUGAUCGGCCACACUGGGACUGAGACACGGCCCAGACUCCUACGGGAGGCAGCAGUAGGGAAUCUUCCGCAAUGGACGAAAGUCUGACGGAGCAACGCCGCGUGAGUGAGGAAGGCCUUCGGGUCGUAAAGCUCUGUUGCCAGGGAAGAACGCUUGGGAGAGUAACUGCUCUCAAGGUGACGGACCUGAGAAGAAAGCCCCGCA
rnacentral:rRNA from 1 species